rnacentral:rRNA from 1 species
UACGUAGGGUGCAAGCGUUGUCCGGAAUUAUUGGGCGUAAAGAGCUCGUAGGCGGUGUGUCGUGUCGGCCGUGAAAACCUGCAGCUUAACUGUGGGCUUGCGGUCGAUACGGGCAUCACUGGAGUUCGGCAGGGGAGACUGGAAUUCCUGGUGUAGCGGUGAAAUGCGCAGAUAUCAGGAGGAACACCGGUGGCGAAGGCGGGUCUCUGGGCCGAUACUGACGCUGAGGAGCGAAAGCGUGGGGAGCGAACAGG